ACAAUUAAAAAAUGGCACCCGGACCUCCCAAUAAACGCCACAAAAAACGCACACCAAAACGCCUCACUCUCUUAGGCGGCUACCUGCCAGCCUUUGCUUCAGUCUUCACGUAACCCUAUGCACCAACCUUCCUACCUCUCCGAUGGCAACCACUUAGAAAACUUAUCACCAUCACCACCACCACUAUAGCCUCUGUCGCUAAUACAUCGGCAGAUCCAAGCACUAAGAUUACCAUGUACCCCGCCCCGCCUUCCACGAAUCACUCCGAUCCUCGUCGCACUGAUGCUCCUGCUUCAGAGGUAUCUCUAAAGGAUAGCGAAAGUUCGAAGACCAACGAAACUACUGUGGGCUCGGUCGCAGGGGAUAGCAGCGGUCCCGUUAACGAUACCCAAAAGAAGAUUCACCGAACUGAGCUGUUCGACGUACUUGUCAAAUUGUCUGAGCAAGAGAAGCGUAAUUCUAGGGCUGAGAGAUGUGGAACUUUGACACAAAUGAUGGAGACCCUCGUCUCCUACAGUUUCAAAGUGGACACAGUGCUCCUCCACUUUGCAUCAGAAUCAGCAGAGCUGAGAGCUGUCUCACGGUCACAUAUCUAAGCGAGCCAAGAAAUUAAGAAUGAAGGAGGAGGAACUAAAAUUAAAGCCAGUUAUUGCAUUUGAUUGUGCAAUUGUUGCUCUUUGGAAGUCUUGAAGCUUGGGUGUCCUAAACUAACUAGUCUCUUUCUCCAGUGUUAUGGUGCUUUUCUAUUGGGCGUGUAUUGUUGAAGAUGCUUUUGUGACUGAUUUAUUUGCAAAUGCAAGAUUUUAUACAAGGAAGCACUAUAGGCAGUGAACUGUACUGGAAUCUUGCAUAAUGCCUAACAAUGGCUUCGUCAUGUGGACUUUCUUUUUUGGCCUUAAGAAUUUCAACCUACAAAGGAAUCCGAAGGAGAUGCUGUACUAUCUAAUAAAAGAAGCAGUAGUGUACUGUAUGCUUGCGAGGAUGAAGAUAUGGAAUGUGAGUUGGACUCUAAUGGUGUGAUGGACAUUGAUGACCUGUAUGAUGGAGAUGCAGUUCUUGACCAGUCAGAUUUAGAUGUUGAAGAGCCAGCAGGAAGAGGAAUGAACAUGCUUCUAGUUUGCAGAAGUGUUUUUGAAUAUGAAAAAUUGAAGAAAAUUAGUGAAGGUACUCAUGGUAUUGUUUAUAGAGCUAAGGAUAAGAAGAUGGACAAAAUUAUGACUCAGAAGAAGACCACCUGAACUUUUGCUUGGACCAAAGAAGUAUUCAACAACAGUUGACAUGUGGUCUGUGGGCUGUAUAAUGGCAUAGUUGUUAGCUAAGGAAUCAUUCUUCAAAAGGACAAGCGAAAUUGAUCAGCUUAGCAAGCGAGAAGAUCUAGGCUGGUUUUUCUGAAUUACCUGAGGCCAAGGCAAAUUAUUCUAAGCAACCAUAAGUAUAAUUUGUUGCGUAGGAAGUUACCUGCAGUAUCUUUCACAGGAUCUCCAGUUCUUUCUGAUGUUGGAUUUGACCUGUUAAACAGGCUUUUUACAUAUGAUCCUGAGAAAGUAAAUAGAAUAACAAAUGAUGCUCUUAAUCAUGAUUGGUUCCAUGAGCUUUCUCUACCAAAAUCUAAAGAAUUCUUCCCUACUUUCCCCUCGAAAAUGUGAAUGGACCUGGCCUGAUAAUGAAAGCUUGACAGAACCGAAAAACAUAUUUAGGCUGCAUUUUUAGUUUACAGUCAGCUUAAUUUUGUUCGAAUGGCUCCCAGGAAUAUACAAGGAACCUUGAAGGAUCUGAAUUCGAUGCAGUAGUGGUACAAAAAAUUUCUAUCUCCUGAUUGUGUUAUGGGACAGGCAGAUUGGUACAUACAGCUGCUACGUUUGAAAUUUGUAUGUGGAUGCUUAUUUGGUCUUAUGCUUGGGAUAAAUAUUAUUUAUUUAUGUUUUAUUUGGAGUAAAACUUACAAAUAUAAAAAAUUAUAUACAUUUAUAAACAAAUUAAAUAAAAAUACAUAAAUAUUUUUGGUGAGGCUUUGAAGUAUUUUCACUAAAUAAUUUAAAGUGUUAUGUGAAGAUUACAAUUUUAUAAUUUUUAAUAAAAGUAAUUUUAAAUGAGGAUUAAUAAAAGCUUUCACUAAAAGCAAAAAUUUUAAGGGUAGGUUAAUAAAAGCCUUCGUUAAAUGUAAAAGAUAGAGUGAGAGUUAAAAUUGAUCUUUAUUAUAAGUUUUACAUUUAGUGAUAAUUAAAAUUAACUUUCGUUAAUUAUUUACAUUUAGUGAGGGUUUUAUUUUAUCUUUCAUUAUAUAUAAUUAACAAGAAAAUUUAUAGCGAGAACUUGUAAGAGUCAUAUUGAUCUUUGCUAAAAGAAUGAGUGAGAAUUAUAUGGAUUUUUAGUGAAGGUUGGAACCCUUACUAAAUGACUAUGCUUGUAGUUAGCAAAUUGUUUGUUUUU